UAGGGCGACCAGUUGUCCCGGUUGGCCUGCGACUGAGGUGUUUUGCCAACUAGGACAGUCCCAGGCAAGCCGGAGAGUUGGUCACCCUAAAUCUGG
rnacentral:pre_miRNA from 1 species